rnacentral:rRNA from 1 species
GAUGAAUGCUGACGGCGUGCCUAACACAUGCAAGUCGAGCGGUAACAGGUCUAGUUUACUAGAUGCUGACGAGCGGCGGACGGCCGAGUAACGCGUAGGAACGUGCCCCAAAGUCGAGGAAUAACUGCCCGAAAGGGUGGCUAAUGCCGCAUAUGAUCUUCGGAUUAAAGGAUUUUAUCCGCUUUGGGAGUGGCCUGCGU